GGCCACAAAGCCAGAGGGGAAAAGAAGAUGUGCAGAAAUUGGAAAAACCCGAUUGAAACCCACAUUUAGCCAAAGAAUGUGCUGGGCGGUUUAAAGCACGAGGGACAUAAUUGAAGGAGCAAAAAUCAAGAAGACCAGCUCGCUGCAAGAUGUCGUGGACCCAGACGCUUGAGGCUGCCAAAGAUUUCGACUUUUGUUGAAAAAGAGAAAUUGCUUGAAGGGAAUCCGAUUCCACCAUAAUUUUCCUGCAAUUAAGAGUUUGAGCCUGCUCCAAUCCUUGUAUAAUCGCGAGAAGCUCCUAAAAGUGGCGGAAGAUAGAAUGGGUGGAAGAAGGAUCCCGUUGCACAAAUUGUACCAGAAGAGUCCCGAAAAAUAAAACACACGCCGGUACCUUGAAUCGUCUCCUUGCAUGUGGCAUCCGUGUUUAGCUUCAGGCUAUCAACAGUCGGAGGAACCCAUGACAGAUGAGGACUGUCACGCAAGACAACUAAAGUGGGCAAGCUCUGAACUUCUCGAAAGGAGUUUGCAUAAGAGAUUGACCAACAUGUGAUGGCCGCAAGCUCCUUCUCACCAUUGGAGAAAUUGUUAUGAAUAUGAUCCUAGAAAUCCGAGAAGGCCAGAUGAUGAUGAUGAAGAAAUUGACACCAAGGGAAUAAAGUUUGCCAAAUUUGAUGAGCCCGUUCGCACAGAAAAAUAGCAUGACCCGAGGUUUCAACAUACUUCCUACAACACGGACAAAAGGAAAAUGAAGAAUGCAGUAAUGUAACUGUAGUAAAGUUACCUUAGAUGGAGAUCUUCCCCAGUUGCAAAGGUGAAGGGCGUUUCAAUGAA